rnacentral:rRNA from 1 species
AAACUGCGAAUGGCUCAUUAAAUCAGUGCUAAUCUACUCGACUGUAUAUCCUUUCGGAUAACCCUCUUUUGGGAAACUAGGGCUAAUACGUGGACGAAGUGCGCUUGCGCACGAGCUUAUUAGCUUUGAACUAACCCGCUUCGGCGGUUUGGUGAUUCAUAAUAAGGUCUCUUAUCUUUAUGAAAUGUCGAUUGAAGUUCUGCCCUAUCAACUUGUAUGUAAGGUAGUGGCUUACAUAGGUUCUGACGGGUAACGGAGAAUUAGGGUUUGAUUCCGGAGAGGUGGCUUGAGAUACGGCCACCACUUUUACGGAAGGCAGCAGGUGCGAAAACUAUCCAAUCCUAACACAGGGAGGUGGUUACAAGAAAUGACAGAUCACGGGGCUACGCCUCGUUUCUGUGCUGCGUUGUUGAUUUAAAGUYCCUUCGUAAUCAACUGGAGGGCAAGUCGGGUGCCAGCAGCCGCGGUAAUUCCUGCUCCAGUAGCGUAUGUUAACGUUGUUGCAGUUAAAAAGCUCGUAGUUGAAUUUGUUUCUGGACGGCCUCAGAUCGUAUGAUCGUUUGGCCCUCUAGAAUUCUGAUAGGCUGCCGCCGCCGAUUAGGUGGUGGACCACGGUCUAUCCGUUUACCUUGAAUAAAUUGGAGUGCUCAAAGCAUGCUAGUGCAAUUGAACAUUCAAGCAUGGAAUAAUGAAACAGGGCUAUGGUUCUGUUUGUUGGUUCGCAGACCAAAGUAAUGAUUAAUAGGGGCAGUUGGGGCCAUUUGUACUGGCGCAGGAGAGGUGAAAUUUAUAGAUUGCGCUAAGACAAACUGAUGCGAAAGCGUCUGGCAAGGAUGUUUUCAUUGAUCAAGAACGAAAGCUGGGCUAUCGAAGACGAUUAGACACCGUCGUAGUCCCAUGCCAUAAACUAUGCCGACUAGGGAUUGGAUAUAGUGUUUAUUAUUACUUCUUCAGCACCUUACGAGAAAUCAAAGUUUUUGGGUUCUGGGGAGAGUAUGGUUGCAAGGCUGAAACUUAAAGGAAUUGACGGAAGGGCACCACCAGGGGUGGAGCUUGCCGCUUAAUUUGAUUCAACACGGGGAAACUUACCAGGUCCGGACUCAGGAAGGAUAGACAAGCUGAAUGCCUUUUCUUGAUUCUGAGGGUGGUGGUGCAUGGCCGUUCUUAGUUGGUGGAGUGAUUUGUCAGGUUGAUUCCGUUWACGAACGAGAUCCCAGCCUACUAACUAGUCGUACGAUACUUUGUAUUGUCCGACUUCUUAGAGGGACUGCCAGAUUAAACUGGAGGAAGGUUGGGGCAAUAACAGGUCCGUGAUGCCCUUUAGAUGUUCUGGGCCGCAAGCGUGCUACAAUGAUGUCUUCAACAAGUAUAUUGUGCUCAACCGAGAGGUUUGGCUAAUCUUUUUAAAAGACAUCGUACUGGGGAUAGUCCUUUGCAAUUAUUGGACUUCAACCAGGAAUUCCUAGUAAGUGCAUGUCAUAAGCGUGCGCUGAUUACGUCCCUGCCCUUUGUACACACCGCCCGUCGCUACUACCGAUUGGAUGAGCAUGUGAGAUUUAUGGACUGCCUUACUUGACGUUACUAACGUAACUUCUUUAGGCGGGAAAUUCAGCGAAUGUGUUUAUUUAGAGGAAGUAAAAGUCGUAACAAGGUUUCCCGUAGGUGA